rnacentral:rRNA from 1 species
UACGGAGGAUCCGAGCGUUAUCCGGAUUUAUUGGGUCUAAAGGGUGCUCAGGCGGGGGAUUAAGUCGGCGGUGAAAUUUUGCAGCUCAACUGUAAAAGUGCCUUCGAAACUGGUUUCCUUGAGUGUGGAUGAGGUAGGCGGAAUUUGUGGUGUAGCGGUGAAAUGCAUAGAUAUCACGAGGAACUCCGAUUGCGCAGGCAGCUUACUAAACUACUACUGACGCUCAGGCACGAAGGCGUGGGGAUCAAACAGGAUUAGAUACCCCCGGUAGU